rnacentral:rRNA from 1 species
CGAAUGCUGACAUAAGUAACGAUAAAGCGGGUGAAAAGCCCGCUCGCCGGAAGACCAAGGGUUCCUGUCCAACGUUAAUCGGGGCAGGGUGAGUCGACCCCUAAGGCGAGGCCGAAAGGCGUAGUCGAUGGGAAACAGGUUAAUAUUCCUGUACUUGGUGUUACUGCGAAGGGGGGACGGAGAAGGCUAUGUUGGCCGGGCGACGGUUGUCCCGGUUUAAGCGUGUAGGCUGGUUUUCCAGGCAAAUCCGGAAAAUCAAGGCUGAGGCGUGAUGACGAGGCACUACGGUGCUGAAGCAACAAAUGCCCUGCUUCCAGGAAAAGCCUCUAAGCAUCAGGUAACAUCAAAUCGUACCCCAAACCGACACAGGUGGUCAGGUAGAGAAUACCAAGGCGCUUGAGAGAACUCGGGUGAAGGAACUAGGCAAAAUGGUGCCGUAACUUCGGGAGAAGGCACGCUGAUAUGUAGGUGAGGUCCCUCGCGGAUGGAGCUGAAAUCAGUCGAAGAUACCAGCUGGCUGCAACUGUUUAUUAAAAACACAGCACUGUGCAAACACGAAAGUGGACGUAUACGGUGUGACGCCUGCCCGGUGCCGGAAGGUUAAUUGAUGGGGUUAGCGCAAGCGAAGCUCUUGAUCGAAGCCCCGGUAAACGG